rnacentral:misc_RNA from 1 species
AUUUCCCCCAAUGGGUUUCUCCGGAUUUCUGGAGACUUGUAGGGGGUUGUGGGAUUUUUGAUGUGUCGUCUCCGGACGGGCGGUGCAGGGUAGUCGAGUUAGACUUGGUGGAAUUCCGUCGAUAGGAAUUGCGUCGAGUCUGGUCGGCUGUGUGUUGGACGGUGCAGGGUAGGCUGCUUGGACAUGGUCGGUUCGAGGAUCGAUUCGAGGGCCGGCCUGUCGAUGAUGUGUGAUGUAUGCGGUCUAGGGUAGGCUGGUUUGUCUUGGUUUAAUUUGAUGUCGGCUCCCGUGCAGGCCAGAGUGAGGGGGGUCCAGGGUAGGUACAGGGUAGGCAGCUUAGAUUUGGUCGAUCUGGAGGUCGAUUCUCCGGCUGGCGGAUCUGACACUGUCGAAACGAGAUGCGAGCGGUGUAGGGUAGGCUAGUUUCGUCCUCGCCAGGUUGCGAUUUGGACGAGAUAUGUAGUUUAGUGUAUACUCUAGGGUAAGUAGAAUUCGAGUUUCGUCGCCGACAGUUUUCUGUGGGUGUAUGGUAGGUGCAGGGUAGGCAAAUCUCUCUCCGGCCAGUACUUGUCUGGUGGUCGUGAGUCGAUUUUUUUGUUUU